AACGCUAGCUACAGGCUUAACACAUGCAAGUCGAGGGGCAGCAUGGUCUUAGCUUGCUAAGGCCGAUGGCGACCGGCGCACGGGUGAGUAACACGUAUCCAACCUGCCGUCUACUCUUGGACAGCCUUCUGAAAGGAAGAUUAAUACAAGAUGGCAUCAUGAGUCCGCAUGUUCACAUGAUUAAAGGUAUUCCGGUAGACGAUGGGGAUGCGUUCCAUUAGAUAGUAGGCGGGGUAACGGCCCACCUAGUCUUCGAUGGAUAGGGGUUCUGAGAGGAAGGUCCCCCACAUUGGAACUGAGACACGGUCCAAACUCCUACGGGAGGCAGCAGUGAGGAAUAUUGGUCAAUGGGCGAGAGCCUGAACCAGCCAAGUAGCGUGAAGGAUGACUGCCCUAUGGGUUGUAAACUUCUUUUAUAAAGGAAUAAAGUCGGGUAUGGAUACCCGUUUGCAUGUACUUUGUGAAUAAGGAUCGGCUAACUCCGUGCCAGCAGCCGCGGUAAUACGGAGGAUCCGAGCGUUAUCCGGAUUUAUUGGGUUUAAAGGGAGCGUAGAUGGAUGUUUAAGUCAGUUGUGAAAGUUUGCGGCUCAACCGUAAAAUUGCAGUUGAUACUGGAUAUCUUGAGUGCAGUUGAGGCAGGCGGAAUUCGUGGUGUAGCGGUGAAAUGCUUAGAUAUCACGAAGAACUCCGAUUGCGAAGGCAGCCUGCUAAGCUGCAACUGACAUUGAGGCUCGAAAAGUGUGGGUAUCAAACAGGAUUAGAUACCCCUGGUAGUCCACACGGUAAACGAUGAAUACUCGCUGUUUUGCGAUAUACUGCAAGCGGCCAAGCGAAAGCGUUAAGUAUUCCACCUGGGGAGUACGCCGGCAACGGUGAAACUCAAAGGAAUUGACGGGGGCCCGCACAAGCGGAGGAACAUGUGGUUUAAUUCGAUGAUACGCGAGGAACCUUACCCGGGCUUAAAUUGCAGAUGAAUUACGGUGAAAGCCGUAAGCCGCAAGGCAUCUGUGAAGGUGCUGCAUGGUUGUCGUCAGCUCGUGCCGUGAGGUGUCGGCUUAAGUGCCAUAACGAGCGCAACCCUUGUUGUCAGUUACUAACAGGUUCCGCUGAGGACUCUGACAAGACUGCCAUCGUAAGAUGUGAGGAAGGUGGGGAUGACGUCAAAUCAGCACGGCCCUUACGUCCGGGGCUACACACGUGUUACAAUGGGGGGUACAGAGGGCCGCUACCACGCGAGUGGAUGCCAAUCCCCAAAACCUCUCUCAGUUCGGACUGGAGUCUGCAACCCGACUCCACGAAGCUGGAUUCGCUAGUAAUCGCGCAUCAGCCACGGCGCGGUGAAUACGUUCCCGGGCCUUGUACACACCGCCCGUCAAGCCAUGGGAGCCGGGGGUACCAAAAGUGCGUAACCGCGAGGAGCGCCCUAGGGUAAAACC
rnacentral:rRNA from 1 species